rnacentral:rRNA from 1 species
GAUGAACGCUGGCGGCGUGCCUAAUACAUGCAAGUCGAGCGAACAGACGAGGAGCUUGCUCCUCUGACGUUAGCGGCGGACGGGUGAGUAACACGUGGAUAACCUACCUAUAAGACUGGGAUAACUUCGGGAAACCGGAGCUAAUACCGGAUAAUAUAUUGAACCGCAUGGUUCGAUAGUGAAAGACGGUUUUGCUGUCACUUAUAGAUGGAUCCGCGCCGCAUUAGCUAGUUGGUAAGGUAACGGCUUACCAAGGCAACGAUGCGUAGCCGACCUGAGAGGGUGAUCGGCCACACUGGAACUGAGACACGGUCCAGACUCCUACGGGAGGCAGCAGUAGGGAAUCUUCCGCAAUGGGCGAAAGCCUGACGGAGCAACGCCGCGUGAGUGAUGAAGGUCUUCGGAUCGUAAAACUCUGUUAUUAGGGAAGAACUAAUGUGUAAGUAACUAUGCACGUCUUGACGGUACCUAAUCAGAAAGCCACGGCUAACUACGUG